rnacentral:rRNA from 1 species
CCUACGGUGGUCAGCAGUGAGGAAUAUUGGUCAAUGGACGAGAGUCUGAACCAGCCAAGUAGCGUGAAGGAUGACUGCCCUAUGGGUUGUAAACUUCUUUUAUAUGGGAAUAAAACAGGGUAUGCAUACCCUCUUGUAUGUACCAUAUGAAUAAGGAUCGGCUAACUCCGUGCCAGCAUCCGCGGUAAUACGGAGGAUCCGAGCGUUAUCCGGAUUUAUUGGUUUUAAAGGGAGCGUAGGUGGAUUGUUAAGUCAGUUGUGAAAGUUUGCGGCUCAACCGUAAAAUUGCAGUUGAAACUGGCAGUCGUGAGUACAGUAGAGGUGGGCGGAAGUCGUGGUGUAGCGGUGAAAUGCUUAGAUAUAACGAAGAACUCCGAUUGCGAAGGCAGCUCAAUGGACUGCAACUGACACUGAUGCUCGAAAGUGUGGGUAUCAAACAGGAGUAGAUACCCUUGUAGUC